CAUCAACAGUAUGUUAAUUCCACAAGUUUGGUGUCAGCUAAACCCCUGAGCAGCAGUGCAAGCAGAGUGGAUAAGUCCUUCUGGCAGGAGUUGCUGCAAUCAACAUUUUCGCUGCGCAAUGAUUCUGUAGAGGAAGAUCUGUAAAAGUGAAGAGCAGAACUUGUGCACUGGAGUGGGCAGCAGGAGUGACAGUAAAAAUGCAAGUAUUGCAAGAGCUUUUCUGAGCAAGAAUGAUGAUUUGAACAAGGCCAAGUGGAGGAACUGUAAGUGCAAUAAGGGUUGAGAGAAGCUGCCUUCCUCAAAGAAAGUAUUCAAAAGGUCAGCCUUCAUCAUUGUGCAGAGCAAGAGACACAGUUAGGAGCCGGCUAAAUGCAGUCCAGACACUGCCAGCUAGAAACUUCCAGCAAAUUAUCAAGUGAAGGUGCUGUCUCCCAGUGUUUCAGGGGUUCCGUUACCUCAUGAUAUCACAAGAACCAUAUUAUUGUGGCAAUAAAACAUUUACAAAAACUCUGUCUUUAGUAGAAAACACAGGAGAAAAGGAGAGCAUGGAACAGCUGAAGAAGUCUGUGUUGCAUGUACUGUGCUGAGGGAUGACGGCAUCACAGCUUGCCUUAUAAUCCAGAUAAAUCAGAAAUCAUUUCUAACACUGGAAAUCUAAAAUAUCCCUGAAGAGCUGCAAUACUUCCUGUGUCUGUGAAUCUAUGUGUAGGCUGUUCUAAUCGUGGGUCAAAAUUUUGCAUUUCUUUGGAGCAAGUAACUGAAAUGAUGAAAUAACUUUCUAGCUGA